rnacentral:rRNA from 1 species
UUACCUGGUCUUGACAUCCCGGAGACCCUUAGGAAACGUAGGGGUGCUUCCAUCUGGAAGAAUCUGGAGACAGGUGCUGCAUGGCUGUCGUCAGCUCGUGUCGUGAGAUGUUGGGUUAAGUCCCGCAACGAGCGCAACCCUUGCCUUUAGUUGCCAGCAGUUCGGCUGGGCACUCUAAAGGGACUGCCGGUGUUAAACCGGAGGAAGGUGGGGAUGACGUCAAGUCCUCAUGGCCUUUAUGACCAGGGCUACACACGUACUACAAUGGCCGAUACAAAGGGCAGCGACACUGCGAGGUGAAGCCAAUCCCGUAAAAUCGGUCUCAGUCCGGAUUGGAGUCUGCAACUCGACUCCAUGAAGUUGGAAUCGCUAGUAAUCGUGGAUCAGCAUGCCACGGUGAAUACGUUCCCGGGCCUU